ACAAUAUUUUCUGACAACGCACGG
rnacentral:siRNA from 1 species